ACUCUUUAGCUUGCUARRGAGGAAAGUGGCGCACGGGUGCYUAACGCGUAUGCAACCUACCUUAAUCAGGGGGAUAGCCCGAAGAAAUUCGGAUUAACACCGCAUAAAAUCACAGUACAGCAUUGUACAAUGAUCAAAUAUUUAUAGGAUUAAGAUGGCUGCUGAUKACUUWUUUUAGUUGGCGGGUUACCGGCCCACCAAGACCACGAUGUCUAGGGGAUCUGAGAGGAUGACCCCCCACACUGGUACUGAGACACGGACCAGACUCCUACGGGAGGCAGCAGUAAGGAAUAUUGGUCAAUGGAGGCAACUCUGAACCAGCCAUGCCGCGUGCAGGAAGACAGCCCUCUGGGUCGUAAACUGCUUUUAUUCGGGAAUAAACCWMWYUACGUGUAGWKWGCUGAAUGUACCGAAGGAAUAAGGAUCGGCUAACUCCGUGCCAGCAGCCGCGGUAAUACGGAGGAUCCAAGCGUUAUCCGGAUUUAUUGGGUUUAAAGGGUGCGUAGGCGGCUUUUUA
rnacentral:rRNA from 1 species